UUGCUAAACUGGAGAUGGCGCAUGACAAGAACUGCCCCAAAUGUCACUCCUCUUUUGGAAAUCAUGAUGCCGCGCUUUUUUCCCCUCUUUCCUUAAAGGCUGUAGCUAUAAUAAGCCAAAUGUUCCAUGCUGGUGGAGUAAACACGCAUGUUUAAGGGGCAUCUGUGUUAGCAGAGGGCACUCGCGCACAGAGGUGUGUUACCUAGUGUAUUUAUGGAGCAAACCUCAGGACUUGGCGCUGUGGGAACUACCGAGUCAAAGUGCUGUGACAGCUUCACAGAAGCAAUGCAUUCCCAGUGGCUCUGCUCCUUCAUUCACCUAGACCUCAGACCAAGCAGUGCCCCGAGAUGCAAGUCCAGGGCCUUGUGAAGGCACCCUCAGAAUUAUCCACUUCUGGCCCAGCUACAGUAAGGCACUGAAGUAAGGGCCAGGAAAUCUUCAUAUGUUCUUGGACCUGGUAUGGCCUCUCAGGUAACCCAG
rnacentral:lncRNA from 1 species